GAAAUGCGAUAAGUAAUGUGAAUUGCAGAAUUCAGUGAAUCAUCGAAUCUUUGAACGCACCUUGCGCUCCUUGGUAUUCCUUGGAGCAUGCCUGUUUGAGUAUCAUGAAAUCUUCAAAGUAAAUCUUUUGUUAACUCAAUUGGUUUCUACUUUGGUAUUGGAGGUCUUUGCAGCUUCACACCUGCUCCUCUUUGUUCAUUAGCUGGAUCUCAGUGUUAUGCUUGGUUCCACUCGUCGUGAUAAGUUAUCUAUCGCUGAGGACACUGUAAAAGGUGGCCAAGGUAAAUGCAGAUGAACCGCUUCUAAUCGUCCAUUGACUUGGACAAUACUUUUAUGAUCUGAUCUCAAAUCAGGUAGGACUACCCGCUGACCUUAAGC
rnacentral:misc_RNA from 1 species